rnacentral:rRNA from 1 species
GACGAACGCUGGCGGCGCGCCUAACACAUGCAAGUCGAACGGAGCUGCGAGAAGCUUGCUUUUCUUAGCUUAGUGGCGAACGGGUGAGUAACGCGUGAGUAACCUGCCCUGGAGUGGGGGACAACAGUUGGAAACGACUGCUAAUACCGCAUAAGCUCACGAUCCGGCAUCGGAUUGAGGGAAAAGGGUUUAUUCGCUUCAGGAUGGACUCGCGUCCAAUUAGCUAGUUGGUGAGGUAACGGCCCACCAAGGCGACGAUUGGUAGCCGGACUGAGAGGUUGAACGGCCACAUUUGGGCUGAGACACGGCCGAGAAUCCUACGGGAUGCAGCAGUGGGGGAUAUUGCACAAUGGCGGAAGUCCUGAUGCAGCGACGCCGCGUGGAGGAAGAAGGUUUUCGGAUUGUAAACUCCUGUCGUCAGGGACGAUAAUGACGGUACCUAACAAGAAAGCACCGGCUAACUACGUG